rnacentral:lncRNA from 1 species
UCAAAGGUCAACAUUUCAAUCUAUUGACUUCUGGCAAUUAAAAUUCAUUACUUCAGAACAUGUGUCAAGAAGGUCUUCCUCCUUUGCUACACUUAUGGUUUACCUGUUGAGUGGUUCUGUUAAAUAUAAAUUAAUGCAACAAUCAUUCUUUUCAUUGUCAAUUUCAAAACAGGAAUUCCAUGGAGCAAGAUAAUAGGACAUGCCAAGUUAUUUCCACAGUUAAAAGAGCAGUGAAAAUAUCCUGUGUAAUAAAAAUGAUGACAACAUAUCCAAAUCACAGUUUAACUCUCUACCUAAAUAACGAAAGAUGUUUCCUAUUACCUCCACUCCCAUGAUUCACAACCCUCAUAAAAUGACAGUAUUACAUAAGACUGAGUAAACACUGGAAUAUUAGAGCAAAUCUGGCUUGAAAAGCAGGUGGAUACUUUCUAAUGGACAUCUGAGUUCCCUUAGAAAACAUAAUACAAAAACCAUAUACAAAUCUAAAAACAAAAUAACCUGACCACAUUAAAGGAUUCAUCACCUAAAAUUAACUUCUGUAUUUCUGCCUAUAAAUAGUCACACUGAAGGCAUAAAAUUAAGACUUUAGUUGGAGUCAACCCUCAAAAAAAUACAAUGUGAAUCAUAAUGUAAAACCAUUCUUAAGCAAUAAAACUGGUCCUGUAAGACACAUAUUAAUAAAAUCGGUCCCCAUGUGCAAAAUCUAUUUCUCUCCAAGUUAAUAUAAACUUGGGCUUCACAGGAUUCCUGGGAGCAAAGUUCUUUAUUUAGUUCACUGCAUGUGGAAAUAACACCAGUCAGGAAGCCAUGCACCGUGCCAUCUGCCACCUCAUUAAGAGCAUCUUGCUUUUUCAAGACAUUUUCAAACCCGUGCUGCAUAGACAACACUAGGAGAAGCCACUAUGAAUGAGUGACAGGUCCCAAGAGCACAACAGGAAGCCCAAGGCGGCUCAGCAAAUGUCACUGGACAUGCGGCAGGGAAGAACAUUACCAAGAUGGGAACGCUGGUAGACAGCUCUACAUUUAUAUGGAGGAGGUCUCCCAAAGUGAGAAUAACCUCAGUGAAGGCCCGGAACUCCCACCAGCUACUCCUCCUGCGCAUGAAGAGCCAGGCUCUCCGCCUCCCUCUCAGCCCCUCCAUGCUGCACGCUGACCCCGCAAGGGUGGACAAAGAGCCUACAGGCUUGAAGCACACAGGGCUGCUUUCCAAACAUUUGUUCAGUUACCACCCUAACAUGAAAGCUUUUAAAUGAUUCCAAAAAAUAAUAUUGCUCCAGGUAGAAAUAUCCUUUUCAUAUUCAAAUGUAGCUUCACUGGUAGUUUGACAAAUUACAGUCUUAUGACUCUGUUUUCUGGUAUUUGUGAAAAACACCAAGUAAAAAAAAUCAAAUAAAUUCCAAAUUUUCUAAGAGUGUCUGUCUCUUUUUUUCCCCCUUUAGUAAGAGGAUCAAAGCAGUAUUUUUCUCUUUUUGUUCAAUUUUGUGUACAACAAAAGCAUUUCUUGCUUCACCUCUUUAUAAACUACAGAUCUCUGUACAAACACAGUAUUAAUUAAAUCCAAGAAAUGGUGGCUAUACUAUGCAUUUUGAAAGAAAAAAACUGCUCCACAAUAGAGUAACUGUCUUGUUUAUAGACAGUACAUGUGAGUACAGAGGCUAAAAAUUCUGAAGUAACAACAUAACCUUAACUUUCAACCUUAAAUUACAGGCCACCAUGGAACCCAGACAGAAAUCAAACAUUAUUUAUUACACAUUCUUCCAAGAAUUUUUACUACAAAAUAAUACUGAAAAAAAUGUGCUUAGUAAUAAACAGAAUUCAUUCCCAACCAUGAAGUCCAGUACAGUGGACUGGACCCAAAGAGCUGCAACUGGGAACGUGUGCGGACCACUUCCAGGGAAAAUGGUGGCUUGAACUCUCGUUUCCGGCCAGGCCCUAAGCAAUCCCAUGGGCUUAGAAUGAAGUUUAAAAACUGAAAGCAGCAAGACCAAGACAGCAAAGGUUUGGAAGACAACUGGGCCUAGCUUGAUGAGACAUGCACAAAACCUGUAUAGAAUAUUUUAAAACAUUUCCUAAGAUUUAUAUCUGUCUAGCUAUCCAUCUAUCUAUUAUCUAUUAUCGAUCUAUCUCCCUGUGUGAAGUUUUUGCUUUAAUUCUCUCUCUGGAACAAGGUCCUUUUGUCUGACAGUCACAGGAUCUAUAACCAGUUGCUUAAUAAAAAAAUUUAGUCAACAAAGUCAAUAAAAAUCAGUACGUACGUACCUUAAGUAUCUCAUGUAAUGGAAGACUUUGAGUAUGGACCCCCUCAUUCAAGUUACCCAUUGAAUCUUUAUUCAAUGAUGAUAGAUUUCAGUUUCUUUAAAAUUCAUAAUAACUCAAAACAUACUUACAAAGCAGUUUAUGCAAAAAAUACUUUUUUUAGUAUUUUUCCAACCCUUUGAUAGUUAUUCUACCCUCAUCUAAUUUAAUAACACUUUCAGCAAUUCUCCUUUAAUGAGUCUUUCCAAAGUAUUCAAUUUAUUUUUUAGCAAAACAAUAACUCUUUAUAUUUACACUCAGAAGUCACGGGAUUACGUAAUAUUUAAUUAGGUUAUGUAAUUGUAAUUACAAGUACAAAUGAAAUAAACAGGUUUGGGAACAUCUCAAUUGACUCUUUGUAAGCACACAAUUCAACGACAGUCAGCAUGUCCAUCAUUUCAGGCAGGAGUUUUAGGCAGGGGACGCUGAGCAUGAGCUAAGUGCAUGUGGCUAAGAAAGCUCCACUAAGAUUUCUGAAGCAGCACUGUCUAAAGCAUGUACCAGGGAAAACUAAUUUUAAGGGUGCAAUGCAAAAAAAUUUGGUUAGCUAAGUCUGGGAAAUGCAGAGUCAAAUGAAGUUUAAGAAGUUCCUUUAUUUGAUCCCCAGUACAAAAAAAAAGAAGUUCCUUUAGCGAAGGACAUCAUCCUCCAAACAAUUAGUGUGGCUUAUUUCUAAGAGGGUCUUAUGGUAUGUAGUGUUUUGCUAAUGUAUUUUAUCAAGGACUCAAUUUUCAUGAAGAACUUCAUGGGACUGAAAUUUCCAGGCAUAACUUGUACUUUGACCAUUUUUUCUUCCCCCAAUUCCUAUGACGACCUGUGUAAUUUACUUUUCAGUUUAAAACUUGGGCAGGAACACUAUAACACCACUCAAGUCUGCACUCCGGAACAACAGGUGCCCUAAUCAAUAUUGCAGACUCAGCCAGGAAUUUGCCAGAAAGGCAAGACUGCAGAGUACACUCUGCCGUACUCACUGUGCAUAUUUUUAUUAACACCUAAAACUGAAAAUCUUACAAAGAAUGUUAGCAAUGGAUGUGAAAUGGUGAAACUGGUGGCUUGUUGAUGUGAAGAAAUGAGCUUCCAUGAGUAACACUGAAAACAGUGAAGAACGUGUAAAGAAGUGAAAAUGUUUUAGAGGUACUCUAUGAUCCAGUGUGAAUGGAAUACGUGGACUCAGAAAGGCGUUCCCUCCGGAGACAGCCUGAAUUUGGUAUCCAUCCACUGGGUUAUGAAGACAUAGCACUGCCUGGUGGCUAACACAAGAGCAAAGAGCUCUGCCUGCGGGGUGCCCCCUUGUCUGUCUUGCCAAAGAAUAAGCUGUAUAAAUCAUGUUUUUCUUCCCUUGCUAAUGUGUUUAAUAAAUGCCUCUGUGUUUAGCAGGCUUUAUCUGACUUGUUUGCAAUACAAUGGAGUAACAAAAUUUCAGGUGUUAACACUGGUUCGUGCCAAAUCUCAUCUGAGUUAAGAACCAAGGGUCAAAGAAAAUCCAAGGAAACAAACAAAAAUACACUAAACCCCAACCCACUCAAUCAAGUCUCAGUAUUUUUCUUGAAGACAGAAGAAGGUGCCUGCCAACCUAUUGUACCAAUAGCAUGUUUGAAAAUAAUUCACAUUAGGGGGUGAGGAAAGGUGACUCCAGCAAACUGUGAGGGGAGGAGGCCAGAAAGGCAAAGCUAACAUGCUUAGAAGCAGAAAGAAUGCAGCAGUUC